UUCCGUGGCGAACCUGCGGAGGAUCAUUA
rnacentral:rRNA from 1 species